rnacentral:rRNA from 1 species
AUUGCCCUAGUAACGGCGAGUGAAGCGGCAUCAGCUCAAAUUUGAAAUCUGGCUCUUUCAGAGUCCGAGUUGUAAUUUGCAGAGGGCGCUUUGGUGUCGGCAGCGGUCCAAGUUCCUUGGAACAGGACGUCACAGAGGGUGAGAAUCCCGUACGUGGUCGCUGACCUACACCGUGUAAAGCCCCUUCGACGAGUCGAGUUGUUUGGGAAUGCAGCUCUAAAUGGGAGGUAAAUUUCUUCUAAAGCUAAAUACUGGCCAGAGACCGAUAGCGCACAAGUAGAGUGAUCGAAAGAUGAAAAGCACUUUGGAAAGAGAGUCAAACAGCACGUGAAAUUGUUGAAAGGGAAGCGCUUGCAGCCAGACUUGCUUGUAGUUGCUCAUCCGGGCUUUUGCCCGGUGCACUCUUCUGCGAGCAGGCCAGCAUCAGUUUGGGCGGUUGGAUAAAGGCCUCUGUCACGUACCUUCUCUCGGGAAGGCCUUAUAGGGGAGGCGUCAUGCAACCAGCCUGGACUGAGGUCCGCGCAUCUGCUAGGAUGCUGGCGUAAUGGCUGUAAGCGGCCCGUCUUGAAACACGGACCAAGGAGUCUAACAUCUAUGCGAGUGUUUGGGUGUCAAGCCCGAGCGCGCAAUGAAAGUGAACGGAGGUGGGAUCCCGCAAGGGUGCACCAUCGACCGAUCCUGAAGUCUUCGGAUGGAUUUGAGUAAGAGCAUGGCUGUUGGGACCCGAAAGAUGGUGAACUAUGCUUGAAUAGGGUGAAGCCAGAGGAAACUCUGGUGGAGGCUCGCAGCGGUUCUGACGUGCAAAUCGAUCGUCAAAUUUGGGCAUAGGGGCGAAAGACUAAUCGAACUAUCUAGUAGCUGGUUCCUGCCGAAGUUUCCCUCAGGAUAGCAGUAACG